CAUGUUAGACCCUGCGCCCGCCGCCACAGCCGCGGGGCCGGCCGUGCCCACGGAGAGCUCGGGCUGGCGGCGGCAGGAGCGGAGCCGAUCCUCAUGUCGCCCCGUGCAGGGGAGGAGAGCGGCUACGGGAAAAGGCCCGUGCGCCACGGACCGUGUGCCCCCCCCCCUCCGGUCCACCCCGCUGAGGGAGGCCUGGGAGAUCAAACAGUCAACCACAGCGGGAAUGGAAGGGCUGGGAAUGCCCUUUCCAGUAGCAUCGUAGCCUCUCAGAACAAACACCAGUCCAGGCAGAAGGAGCACCACUGCCACCACACAGAAAGCCUACGUGAGGAAGUAGUUGCGAAGUUCAUUUCCCGUUCGCAGGGAAAUGGUGAGCAGUGACGGUGUUUCCCAUUUUGAUUGCCCAUAAAGAGAAAAAUCCGUGUAACCACAUUUCUUCAUCUUUAAACUUACCGAUGGGUACAAACGGCGUCUCUUUAAAUUUCCUUAGCAGCUUUGAUGUCUGGCUGGUGUCAGUCUCAUACUCGGACAAAAUGGAUUCCUGACCGGAUGACAUGGUGGCUGCGAAGACAAAGAGUUUCCCUUCAGGUUUUAGAGACACCAAGUUAACGGAACUUUUAGAAGAAGAAAAUCCCUUGCAUGUUCCACCAGUCACAAAUGUCCAAGCAGUCAGCCACAAGCACAGGAGCUCGACUUGAGUUGAUGAGCUACCUAUAGGUGAUUUAAUGAUUUAACUCAAGCGAAGUCUUGGGAAGCAAGAUACUAGAACAGGGGGGAAAAAAUAAAGAAAAAAGGAAACAAGUAGCAAAGCAACAAAUUUUUGCCAUCCCUUUUCACACCAUUACAGAUGCCAGUGGCCCGCACAGGCCACUAAAAGCUUUGGUCAUGGCUUGUGUUUCCUUUUAGGACUUCCAUCCUCCACCACGCUGCUUUGCUUUCACAGGCUACUCCUUAACAGCAGCUCUGACCUCAGAAAAGUUCAUUCCUCCUCUGUCGCUCCCUGCCAAGAACUGCAACCAAAGCGCUCAGGGUGGAAAGCACGAGCUGCUGCGGAAGGUCAGCCCUCCCUGGCAGGUCGUCAGCCACUACUACAGCCUGACCCACCUCGUUCACCGCUUCAGCUGAGCUUCAGACUCCUGCUGGAGAAGACAGAAGUGUAAAGCGGCAGCUGCUGAGGGGCUGGAGCGAGUCCUGAAACCCUUGAUGGGCACAGACUGAUGUGGGGACACAGCAGGGAGAUGAGCAGAGCUUCCAUUGCAGCACAGGUGAUUUCUCACCUGCCUCCAAGGACAAAGCAGCAGCGGUGAGAAGGGCGCUACUCACUGAGCCGUCACCACCCAACCACUGAGACCAUCCGCCAAAGCUCACCAAAAAACUCGCCAGCUCGCCGUGCUGUCCCCGCCACAGAUGUCACCGAGGCCUGUCCCUUCUUCAGUGCCCGGCAUAAGCAUCGCUCUUCAAUUAGCGCCUAUUUCCGCUACCACAAUUAGCUCAGCAACAGCACAGAGCUCUCUGCUAGAAGAAUCCCUACCGAUAUUGUUCUGGUUCUGCCACAAACGCGCUCAGCAGCAAAACACAACUCGGCUUCAUAUGGGAAGCGCUCCAAACUCUUGAAAUAAGCCAACAGGAAUUUAAUUUAAGCACGGGCCAGUGAACACGUGCAAAAAAUACAUUCCACACGUGGCUGUAUUCCCUGGUUACGCAGCGGUUUGUGCACAUCCAUUUCGGCAGGGUGACUUUUUUUAAACUAAAUGAGCAAACCAUUUCCUCUUCAGGCCGAAGGAUUUGGUCUCUCUGCACCCGUUACAACCACCCUUAUUUGCUAAAUAUUCUACCCUGACUCAUUCUGAGAGGGAAACACGAGACGACCCCAUCACUCAGGAGAGGUGGAGACAGGCAGAGUUUCAGCUUUCAGGCAGAGCUCGCUCUGCUCCUGCUGUAUGCUAGGCGGUGGAUUUUGAAGGCCAAAGACAACUUAGAAAUUGCUCCUGACUUUAACUGAACUGAACUCUGGAGGAGGAGGAAAAAUCCCCUGGGAUCCUGAAGAUGCCUAAACCCGUCCCCUAAACCCGGGAGCAGCUUUUCAGAGCAGAACAGCCAAAAAAAAAGCCCUUUUCUCCAGAAACUGCCUGACUUUGCAGCCCUCUGGUGUGCCGUUUGUGACUCCCCAUCUCCGAGCACAGGUGGAAGCAGUGCUGCCGCUCCCACGGGGCCACUCCGCCGCUGACGUGCAGCUUUUUUGGCAGCAUAAAAGAAAGUGGUGCAGAUAACCGUUUGUUAGUACCGCCGUACCUCUCUAAAUGUGCUGCCUGUUAUGGGUGAUCUGGUUAUGUUAACUGCCAAAGCCAUUAGGGCUCUGCAGAGCCUGAAAGGAGAAAAAAAAAUCUAUGCAAUUACCAGCUCCCAAAUUGAGUUAAAAUCUUGUAAUAAAUUACAGCGAAGGCUACUUUCUCUAGUGACUCUCAGAGGCACGUUUAAUUCCCUGCAGCUCUGCAUGAUACGUGCUUCAGGGGAGAAACUCAAUUAAAAACAAAGACUUAUUUCAUUUUAAUCGCUGGGCUAAUGAAAUGUCACCUGUAGCGUCCUCAUGUGCGUGUCUGGUACCUCGGCUUUGUGAGCAGCUUCUU